UGUUAAAGAUUAAGCCAUGCAUGUGUAAGUAUAAAGACUAAAUAAGAUGAAACUGCGGACGGCUCAUUACAACAGUUAUAGUUUCUUUGGUUAGUAAAAUGAGGAUAACUCUGUUAAUUGUAGAGCUAAUACUUGAGACAUUCCGUGAUCACACGAUUACGGCACUUGCAUCGUGAAUGCAAGAUAUAAACUUUCUCAAGAUGAAAAAGGGAAAGAGGACAAUUGUAGAAGGCCAGGAAUUUAACAAGUAACCAAUGAGAAUAUCUGACCUAUCAACUAGUUGGUAAGGUAGUGGCUUACCAAGGUGAUAACGGGUAACGGGAAAUUAGGGUUUGACACCGGAGAGGGGGCAUUCAAAAUGGCCACCACUUCUAAGGAAGGCAGCAGGCGCGAAAAUUACCCACUUCAGGAACUGAGAGGUAGUGACAACAAAUAACUAAAACCAGCAUUUCAUGUUGAGUUUUGGGGAAGAGCCAGAAACAAAGACUCUGGCGAACGCGAUUGGAGGGCAAGUCUGGUGCCAGCAGCCGCGGUAAUUCCAGCUCCAAUAGUGUAUAUUAAAGUUGUUGUGAUUAAAAAGCUCGUAGUUGAAAGGAACGUAGAGUAGAGUGAGCCAACUGCGUAUUCGUACGUAGGAAGCGAGCUCUAAAAUCUAGACACUCAACUCAGCGCUCUUCGGAGUGAUGAGGGGAAUAUUUACUUUGAAAAAAUGUGAGUGUUUAAAGCAAAGCAUAAGCUAAUGAAAAAUCAAGCAUGGGAUAAUAGCGAGGGGAUCAGGACCAAGGGUCAAUGCGUUGAUCUGCGGGAAGGAUAACGAGAGAAGGAUUAAUAGAAAGAGAUGGGGUGAUUUAUACGGAAAUGGGAGAGGUGAAAAUCCAUGAUCAUUUCAGGAUAAACGAGAGCGAAAGCAUUUCACUUAAAUCUAUUCAUUAAUCAAGAACGAAAGUUAGGGGAUCGAAGACGAUUAGAUACCGUCGUAGUCCUAACUAUAAACGAUGUCAACGGAGGAUUGGAAUGAACAACGAUUACUCGUUAAUUAGACACCUGUCUAAGACGAGACUAAUCAAAGAACUCAGUUCAGCACUCAGCGGGAAACCGGGAGUUAAUGGACUUCAGGGGGAGUAUAGUCGCAAGGCGGAAACUUAAAGGAAUUGACGGAAGGGCACACAAGGGGUGGAGUCUGCGGCUUAAUUUGACUCAACACGGGAAAACUUACCAAGACCAAACAUCUAGAGGAAUGACAGACUAAGGGACCUUUCAUGAUAAGAUGAGGAGUGGUGCAUGGCCGUUCUUAGUUGGUGGAGUGAUUUGUCAGGUUUAUUCCGAUAACGAACGAGACUUUAAUCUCUAAUUUGGUGUUUACGAACUAUUGUAAACAGUAGCAAUAUAUCUUUACGAAGAGCCGACUUAGAGAGACGUAUCAUCAAUUUUCCAUUGCAGUUACAUUGUAGCUGUGAGGAAGAAGAGAUAGGAAGAAAAGCAAUAACAGGUCUGUGAUGCCCUUAGACAUCUUGGGCUGCACGCGUACUACAAUAGCAAUCGUAAAGAGCACAUGCGGUGAAGGACAAGGGAGACCGAUCAAGCAAUUGAGGGUCUUCGACUAUCCACACCAACCAAAGCCGAGAGGCGGCGGGAAACUCGAAAGGUUGCUGUAACAGGGAUUAAUGAUUGGAAUUAUUCAUUAUGAACGAGGAAUCCCUUGUAAAAUUUCGUCACUAACGAAAGUUGAAUACGUCCCUGCCCUUUGUACACACCGCCCGUCGCUCCUACCGAUUGAAUGAAAAGGUGAAGGUUUAGGAGGAAACAAUUAUGUACCGAAUGGAUCUGAAUCUCUUCAUUUAGAGG
rnacentral:rRNA from 1 species